AUUGAACGCUGGCGGAAUGCUUUACACAUGCAAGUCGAACGGCAGCACGGACUUCGGUCUGGCGGCGAGUGGCGAACGGGUGAGUAAUACAUCGGAACGUGCCCAAUCGUGGGGGAUAACGUAGCGAAAGCUACGCUAAUACCGCAUACGAUCUAAGGAUGAAAGCGGGGGAUCGCAAGACCUCGCGCGAUUGGAGCGGCCGAUGGCAGAUUAGGUAGUUGGUGGGGUAAAGGCCUACCAAGCCGACGAUCUGUAGCUGGUCUGAGAGGAUGAUCAGCCACACUGGGACUGAGACACGGCCCAGACUCCUACGGGAGGCAGCAGUGGGGAAUUUUGGACAAUGGACGCAAGUCUGAUCCAGCCAUUCCGCGUGCAGGGUGAAGGCCCUCGGGUUGUAAACUGCUUUUGUACAGAACGAAAAGGCUCUGGUUAAUACCUAGGGCUCAUGACGGUACUGUAAGAAUAAGCACCGGCUAACUACGUGCCAGCAGCCGCAGUAA
rnacentral:rRNA from 1 species